UUUUGUACAUUACAAGUAAAAUGCAUAUCUUGUUGAGAUUGUUAGUGCUUAUGCAUCUACUAAUAUUCUCACAAUGUAUCAGGCAUCCUUUCUCUGCUAAUGAUCUAAGUGCACAGGCGUUUCCGCGGCCUCCGCCACCUCCUUUGAAAGUUUCGAUGCAGUCAGUAAUUGGACCGGAAUCGGAAGCACCGCCUAAGCUGCCUCCACCGUCUUGUAAACCAAGCCUCCACCGUGAUAGCUCCGGUCACUCCUCCAUGGAAUAUGUAGCACACUUCCAAGUUUCAUUAGAUGUUCUCAAUUUCAGAAUUUGUGUAUUAAACUCACUUCCAAAAUUGUUGAAUUUAGAGGUGAACCGAGUGCAAGCACAAGCGAUCAGGGAAAAGGGCACCUCCAUGGUUGACUAAGCAAGUAAUAUCAUUUUUUUACGUGUACAGAGUAUAGAAGCGAGUGAACUCGCUAGUUGGCAGCAGCACGUGUCAAGUCACCACCUCCCUUUUUGCUGGUACAGUCGGAGUUUACACGUGGCAUGCUUAGGUUGUCUUUUGUUUGUAAAUAGUUGGGUUACAAAUGUAAGGUUAUAACCUUCUUUUUGCUAGUGGAGUUGUAUAUAUAUCUAUCGAAACAGGUUAAUGUUAUUUUGUUAUGUAUAGUAGUAAAUAGUUGUGUUA